rnacentral:other from 2 species
GUUUCCCUGCAGUGCUCGUAAUAUCCGGUAGAUUUGUGAACCAACAAGUCUAUAAUAGGGAGCCUGACUUCUAGCAGCCUUCGGGCUAUUAGAGAGGGCACCCACCUGGCAAAACUGGGUUCAAGAUUGGCGGAUGGUUACGGCAGUUAGCGGGGAAUUU